GUUGUUUGUAUCAAUGUAAUGUUUUUAUUUCAUUCUUUGUAUAUUGUUGGGGUAACUCAAGUAUUCAGUAUUGUAUGCACCCUGCACCGGUUUGAUUGACAUUAUUAAGGCAGGUAGAGCCGAGGGGGGAGCGUCGACUAGCGGCCACAGUUGAAUCGCGUCCGUCGUGCUGUGCGGUCGUGUGUUGUAUUGCAGAACCGGCCCGAAUGCCGGGAAACCUGUCGGCGGGAUGGUGGGCCACGGUGUAAGAGCUGCGCUAUGUUGAAACAUGCAACGCGGCCGCCGGCGGCUAACGAUGCCGAACACCGCUAUCAGAACAUGCCGCGGCGGCCGCACCACCACAUACCCCUGAACGUUUCCACCCUGGACUCUUCCAAGCACUCCGUCGGAGGCACCUCCGCCAGCGUCAGCCCGGGCGCGCAACCGACUGCGGCACCUAUCCCAGUGGUCGCUCCGAUACCCGUUGCUUCCCCGCCAAAACUUGCCAACGGCAAUGCGACGGGAGCGCCAACAGCCAGGCAGCCGAGAAGUCGCAGCAACAGAGCAGCCACAGAAGAAGCGCUGACCUCUCUAGCGUUGCUGUGUCUGAUUAGCUUGCUGCUCGCGUUACUGGCUCUGCUGUUUUUGCUCAAAAUAUCGGCGCCCGCGACGACUGCGCCGGAGGAAUUCGCCGUAGUGUACGAAGUGACAUUAGCUCUGUGUGCUCUGACAUUAUCGUUGAACCUUUGCUGUCUCUUGGUGUGUGCGAUACAGUUCCUGUUUGCCGUGAAGCUGGUGCACUCUCCGUCAGCGCCGAACGGCCGAACAAACAAGUACCUGCAGAAGUCGGCCAUUACAAGAAUAUGCGCCGUUGGAGGCUUUUUUAUAUCAAUACCCGUGUUUUUAACAGGUAUAAUCCUAUACACGUUCAUCCAAUUCCACUCAACGCCAGCAAUAGUGACAUCUGUGUUUAUUGGAGUCGGGAUAAUCUUCUGCGGUUGUGCGAUGGUCCACAACGUGUUUGUAUGGCAGAAGGAAAAGACGAACUUAGCGAAGGCAUUUCGAGCGCAAGAAGUUACAAUGAAUACAUCGAACGGUGUGCUCAUGAAUGGGCAUUUGAAUAACACGGGAGCCGGCAAUGUAAGCUUCCAUAGCAUGACUGCGCCGUACACGCAUCCGAUUACGCUGUUGCAACAGGGAGGCCCCUAUAUUAUAAGACCACCAACCAGCACGCCGCCUGGUGAGGGAGCGGCUACACCAGGCGUUCCAGCUGCUACCAUAGACCUCAGCCACGAUACUCACGAACUUAGCACACUUGUAUGAAUACAGGAUUAAAUGUACCAUGAUAAGACAUAUAAAGAUAGACUAAGGCUGGUUGCAGAGCUUGACCGACUCUGCAACCAGCCUUAUACUAUGUGAUCCAAUUGAGAAUAGGACCAUCAAUGCGUCAAUGAUUUUCGUAUCAAAUG